rnacentral:lncRNA from 1 species
AAGUGACCAUUAUGUGUUUUUCACACAAAAUGAUUUUAUAGUUACAUUUAUGUGAUGUAUAUGGUGAUUUCUAUUUUUCUGCUCAUGUGAUCUGAAGCAGAGGCCCAGGUUCAAAGACCUACUAGCUAUUCUAUCCACUUUUACAUCACUUGCCUGAGCCAAUACUUAUAGGAAAACAGUGGUCAAAUUUCUGAAUGAAGACAAGGUUUUCCUAUAUAUUCCUGUUUCAGAAUUUUUCUUUCCUAACCCCUCAUUUUAUGUUGGAAAUUUGAUUGUUGAAAAAGAACUAGAGAGAACAUUUUAAAAUAGACUGG